rnacentral:RNase_P_RNA from 9 species
GAGGAAAGUCCGGGCUCCAUAGGGCAGGGUGCCAGGUAACGCCUGGGGGGGAAACCUACGACCAGUGCAACAGAGAGCAAACCGCCGAUGGCCCACGCAAGUGGGAUCAGGUAAGGGUGAAAGGGUGCGGUAAGAGCGCACCGCGCGGCUGGUAACAGUCCGUGGCACGGUAAACUCCACCCGGAGCAAGGCCAAAUAGGGGUUCAUAAGGUACGGCCCGUACUGAACCCGGGUAGGCUGCUUGAGCCAGUGAGCGAUUGCUGGCCUAGAUGAAUGACUGUCCACGACAGAACCCGGCUUA